GACGAACGCUGUCGGCGUGCCUAACACAUGCAAGUCGAGCGAAGUGAGUACUACGGUACGAACUUAGCGGCGGACGGGUGAGUAACGCGUGGACAAUCUACCCUGUAGACUGGGAUAACACCUCGAAAGGGGUGCUAAUACCGGAUAAUGUCGAGAAGCGGCAUCGCUUUUCGAAGAAAGGAGAGAAUCCGCUAUAGGAGGAGUCCGCGUCCCAUUAGCUAGUUGGUGAGGGUAACGGCCCACCAAGGCGACGAUGGGUAGCCGGCCUGAGAGGGUGAACGGCCACACUGGAACUGAGACACGGUCCAGACUCCUACGGGAGGCAGCAGUGGGGAAUAUUGUGCAAUGGGGGAAACCCUGAAACAGCAACGCCGCGUGAGCGAAGAAGGCCUUCGGGUUGUAAAGCUCAAUAGUAUGGGAAGAUAAUGACGGUACCAUACGAAAGCCCCGGCUAACUACGUGCCAGCCGCCGCCGUAAUAC
rnacentral:rRNA from 1 species